rnacentral:rRNA from 1 species
UACAGAGGUCUCAAGCGUUGUUCGGAUUCAUUGGGCGUAAAGGGUGCGUAGGCGGCGCGGUAAGUCGGGUGUGAAAUCUCGGAGCUUAACUCCGAAACUGCAUUCGAUACUGCCGUGCUUGAGGACUGGAGAGGAGACUGGAAUUUACGGUGUAGCGGUGAAAUGCGUAGAUAUCGUAAGGAAGACCAGUGGCGAAGGCGGGUCUCGUGGACAGUUCCUGACGCUGAGGCAACGAAGGCCAGGGGAGCAAACAGG